rnacentral:snRNA from 1 species
AUACUUACCUGGCAGGGGAGAUACCAUGAUCACGAAGGUGGUUUUCCCAGGGCAAGGCUUAUCCAUUGCACUCCGGAUGUGCUGACCCCUGCAAUUUCCCCAAAUGUGGGAAACUUGACUGCAUAAUUUGUGGUAGUGGGGGACUGUGUUUGUGCUCUCCCCUG